GACGAACGCUGGCGGCGUGCCUAAUACAUGCAAGUCGAACGCAGUUGCGAACGGGUGAGUAACGCGUAGGUACCUGCCUCAUAGCGGGGGAUAACUAUUGGAAACGAUAGCUAAUACCGCAUACUGAGAGAUGGACCUGCGUUGUAUUAGCUAGUUGGUGAGGUAAAGGCUAACCAAGGCGACGAUACAGAGCCGACCUGAGAGGGUGAUCCGCCACACUGGGAAUGGGGCACGGCCCAGACUUCUGCGGGGAGCAGCAGUAGGGGAUCUUCGGCAAUGGACGGAAGUCGUACCGAGCAACGCCGGGGGAGGUAAGAAGGGUUUCGGAUCGUAAAGCUCUGUUGUGAGAGGAGCGGUAACUAACCAGAAAGGGACGGCUAACUACGUGCCAGCAGCCGCGGUAAUAC
rnacentral:rRNA from 1 species